AGGCCACUGCUAUCGGAGUUCGAUUAAGCCAUGCGAGUCGAGAGGUGCAAGACCUCGGCAUACUGCUCAGUAACACGUGGACAAUCUAACCUAUGGAAGAGGAUAAUCCCGGGAAACUGGGGAUAAUACUCUAUAGACUAUGGAUGCUGGAAUGCUUUGUAGUCGAAAGGUCCGCCGCCAUAGGAUGGGUCUGCGGCCGAUUAGGUUGUUGUUGGGGUAACGGCCCAACAAGCCUGUAAUCGGUACGGGUUGUGGGAGCAAGAGCCCGGAGAUGGAUUCUGAGACACGAAUCCAGGCCCUACGGGGCGCAGCAGGCGCGAAAACUUUACAAUGCGGGAAACCGUGAUAGGGGAACUCCGAGUGCCCGUUAAAUCGGGCUGUCCACCAGUUUAAAUAACUGGUGAAGAAAGGGCCGGGCAAGACCGGUGCCAGCCGCCGCGGUAAUACCGGCGGCUCGAGUGGUGGCCACUAUUACUGGGCUUAAAGCGUUCGUAGCUGGUUUGUUAAGUCUCUGGGGAAAUCUUCCGGCUUAACCGGAAGGCGUCUCAGGGAUACUGGCAGACUAGGGACCGGGAGAGGUGAGGGGUACUCCAGGGGUAGGAGUGAAAUCCUGUAAUCCUUGGGGGACCACCUGUGGCGAAGGCGCCUCACCAGAACGGCUCCGACAGUGAGGGACGAAAGCUGGGGGAGCAAACCGGAUUAGAUACCCGGGUAGUCCCAGCUGUAAACGAUGCGCGUUAGGUGUAUCGAUGACCACGAGUCAUCGAGGUGCCGAAGAGAAAUCGUGAAACGUGCCGCCUGGGAAGUACGGUCGCAAGGCUGAAACUUAA
rnacentral:rRNA from 1 species